AGUGAACGCUGGCGGUAGGCCUAACACAUGCAAGUCGAACGGCAGCACAGUAAGAGCUUGCUCUUACGGGUGGCGAGUGGCGGAAGGGUGAGGCAUACAUCGGAAUCUACUUUUUCGUGGGGGAUAACGUAGGGAAAAUAACGCUAAUACUGCAUACGCCGUACGGGUUUAAGCAGGGGAUCUUCGGACUUUGCGCGAAUGAAUGAGCCGAUGUCGGAUUAGCUAGUUGGCGGGGUCACGGCCCCCCAAGGCGACGAUCCGUAGGUGGUGUGAGAGGAUGAGCAGCCCCACUGGAACUGAAACACGGUACAGACUCCUACGGGAGGCAGCGGUGGGGAGUAUUGGACAAUAGGCGCAAGCCUAGUCCAACCAUACCGCGUGGGUGAAGGAGGCCUUCGGGUUGUAAAGCCCUUUUGUUGGGAAAGAAAAGCAGCAGGGUAAUACCCCGCUUUUCUGACGGUACCCAAAGAAUAAGCACCGGCUAACUUCGUG
rnacentral:rRNA from 1 species